GGUGAUAUAGCUCAGUGGUAAAGCAUGUGUCCAGCAUGCACAAGAUACCUGGAUUCAAUCUCCAGCUUCACAA
rfam:Heterocephalus glaber contig18828, whole genome shotgun sequence.